AACCGUUUUCGGGGGGAAGGGUGUGUGAUCCUUUGGUGAUUUAGUUGGGGGCAUCACUUGAGGAGAGGGCGUGCUUGGGGUAUUGGCCCUGUCUUUCCGGUCCUUUCGUACUAGGAGAGACUGGUCAUAGAUAGAAACCGACCUGGAUUACUCCGGUCUGAACUCAGAUCACGUAGGACUGUUAAUCGUUGAACAAACGAGCCCUUAGUAGCGGCUGCACCACUAGGAUGUCCUGAUCCAACAUCGAGGUCGUAAACCUCCUCGUCGAUAGGGGCUCUUGGGGGAGAUUGCGCUGUUAUCCCUGGGGUAGCUUGGUCCAUUAGUCAAUUUUAUUGGGUCUGGGUACUGUUAGUACGUUGAGGGGUUGCUCUUGGUUAAGGGGUUUGGCCUUGUUUUUGGAGGAUCUGUUUUUCUCCAGGGUCGCCCCAACCUAAAAAUAUUAGCCAGUGUUUGGGGUUCAGUGGGCCUGGUAGGUUUAGGUUGUGAUGUGUGGUGGCUAUUGAUUUUAAAGUUCCACAGGGUCUUCUUGUCUUAUGUAUUUAUCCCUGCUUUUGCACGGGGAGAUCAGUUUCACUGAUUAUCUGCAGGAGACAGUUAAGACCUCGUUUAGCCAUUCAUACAAGUCUCGAUUUAUGGGACAAUUGAUUGCGCUACCUUUGCACGGUUAGGAUACCGCGGCCGUUAAACAUGGUGUCACUGGGCAGGCAUCACCUUUAAUACUUGUUUGGCUAAAGGCUAUGUUUUUGGUAAACAGUCGGGCCUUGGGUUUGCCGAGUUCCUUUUGCAGAUUUUAAUCGUCCUAGUAUGCGCUCCUGGGUUGGGUUGACAGGGUGAGUUCAAUGUUUGGUCGAGGUGGGGGGGGGGGGUAUUGUGGUUGUGCUGUUAAUGGUGUACAGGCUGGCGCUUAAGGGGAUGGGUAUCCUGGUUACUCGUUCUAGCAUUGGUUCGUCUAUUGUUAUAGAUUGGCCUGUUGAAGGUGUAGGGAGUCAUGUUGUUUUUAGAUUUUUUUUGUUGGGAGCUUUGACGCAUUCUUUGGUGAUGGCUGCUUUAAGGCCUACAGGAUAUGGGGUGGUUGGAGUUAGUUUAUCCGCUGGUGGAGGUUGUGUCCUUUGUUAAAGGGGCUGUACCCCCUUUAAGUAGCUCUUAGUCUACUACAUGGAAGUUUUGGGUUGGUUCAUCUGGGUGGAGGGGGACUAAGGGGGAACUUAGGUUCGUUUUACAGGCAACCAGCUAUCACCCAGCUCGGUUGGCUUUUCACCUCUACUAACAAGUCUUCCCACUCUUUUGCAACAGAGAAGGGUUGGCUCUGGGUAGCUGCUUGUGAGUAGCUCGCUUAGGUUUCGGGGUGGCAGGCUUAAGUUCUCUUUGUCUGGUUGUUCUUGCUAGAUCAUGAUGCGAAAGGUACAAGGGUUUAUCUUUGCUAUGUGGUGCUUGAGUUUUCAUUGUUAUUUCAUCUUUCCCUUACGGUACUUUAUCUAUAGCGCCCAGAGGUUGUACUUUUCUAUCACUUAUACUUGGCUUGGGGGAAAUGUUUUGGUUAGGUGUAGUAGUGGGUUCUUGGUUAUAGUUGGUGGGGCUAGGGUAGGCU
rnacentral:rRNA from 1 species